ACCUCAACCCUCUGCUUCAGUUUAUGCUGUGAGUAUAUAGUAUGUCUUCUGGACAUUCAAUUGCAUCAAGUAAAGAAGAGGGGAAGAACUUAAAGGAAACUCAAAUUCAACCAAAACCACAAAUGUGCUCUGAUGAGCCAGUAUUCAUUUCCUCUUACAUGCUUUCACCCUUCAUAAAUGGAAAUAUUUUUCUUGGCCUAUACGAUGCCGUGUACGAAUUUGGGACCUCAAACACAGACCAUCUAUGAGGUGCUGCAUCCGGUAGCAGCCACAAACUCCAACGGUCGUAUAUGAAAGGCAAAGAUGAAGUCAAGAGGCUAACGGAUUGGUCAGUAGGGAAAGACUUUACUGGAAGUUCAAUCCAUGAGGGGGGACUACUUUUUUCAGGCCAGAGCAACUGCCUUUCAAAAUUCCUGUGCCCCUCCCUGGUGGUGAUGAAGAACUAAGAGGAAUCAGCCAUGUUGCGGUAUUUUGCAAAUGUGUGCGUUUCAUCAUCAUCUUGUUGUACUUGCUGCAAAAUAUAUUUUUUACUGUUGCUUGCUUUUUUUACAGGUACACUUGCACUCAUGUUGUUUAAUUGUAACUUGCUUAACUACAUGCUCUUACAGUUCUUCCCUUACGCACUUAUUUUUGGUUCAUGUUUUGGCUACCCGCAAUGUUUUGGGGAUAUCUUGUUAUCAGUGACGUAUGCACUUUAAAAAGCUCUCUCUUGGAAGUCGUUUUGGAUAAAAGCAUCUGUUACAAGAAUAAAUGUAAAUCUGCAUCUCUACAUCCUCUGUACCAAUGCAAGUAAACAUUGUUGACUUCUAUCCAUCUGCUGUUUUAAGAAAAAUGUGUACUCUGUUGUAAAAUAUAAUAUACUUUACACCAGAAACAAUUUCAGUCUACACAAUUUUGAAAGCUGAGUUUCUAGGCCCACUCUGUUCAAAUAAAACAUGUACCCUUA